rnacentral:rRNA from 1 species
GACGAACGCUGGCGGCGUGCUUAACUCAUGCAAGUCGAACGGAAAGGCCUGCUUUCCCUUGUGGAUUGCGGGUACUCGAGUGGCGAACGGGUGAGUAACACGUGAGUGAUCUGCCCCCAACUUGGGUAUAAGCCUGGGAAACUGGGUCUAAUUCCCGAUAGGACUGCAGGGUGGUGCCUGUGGUGGAAAACGAUUUUCUAGUGGUUGGGGAUGAGCUCGCGGCCUAUCAGCUUGUUGGUGGGGUAAUGGCCUACCAAGGCGGCGACGGGUAGCCGGCCUGAGAGGGUGGACGGCCACAUUGGGACUGAGAUACGGCCCAGACUCCUACGGGAGGCAGCAGUGGGGAAUAUUGCACAAUGGGCGGAAGCCUGAUGCAGCGACGCCGCGUGGGGGAUGACGGCCUUCGGGUUGUAAACUCCUUUCGACCGCGAGGAAGCCACCUGGUUGGAAGGGUGGUGACGGUAGUGGUAGAAGAAGCACCGGCUAACUACGUG